GUCGAGAAUAAUUCACAAUGGGGGAAACCCUGAUGGUGCAACGCCGCGUGGAGGAUGAAGGUCUUCGGAUUGUAAACUCCUGUCAUCUGGGAGUAAGACCUGACGGUGAAUAGCCGGCAGGGUUGAUAGUACCAGAAGAGGAAGGGACGGCUAACUUCGUGCCAGCAGCCGCGGUAAUACGAAGGUCCCAAGCGUUGUCCGGAAUCACUGGGCGUAAAGGGAGCGUAGGCGGCGUGGUAAGUCAGAUGUGAAAUCCCGGGGCUCAACCCCGGAACUGCAUCCGAUACUGCCAUGCUUGAGGGUUGGAGAGGUAGCUGGAAUUCUCGGUGUAGCAGUGAAAUGCGUGGAUAUCGAGAGGAACACUCGUGGCGAAGGCGAGCUACUGGACAACAUCUGACGCUGAGGCUCGAAGGCCAGGGGAGCAAAAGGGAUUAGAAACCCCAGUAGUCC
rnacentral:rRNA from 1 species